UACAGAGGGUGCAAGCGUUAAUCGGAAUUACUGGGCGUAAAGCGCGCGUAGGUGGUUUGUUAAGUUGGAUGUGAAAUCCCCGGGCUCAACCUGGGAACUGCAUUCAAAACUGACUGACUAGAGUAUGGGUAGAGGGUGGUGGAAUUUCCUGUGUAGCGGUGAAAUGCGUAGAUAUAGGAAGGAACACCAGUGGCGAAGGCGACCACCUGGACUGAUACUGACACUGAGGUGCGAAGCGUGGGGAGCAAACAGG
rnacentral:rRNA from 1 species